rnacentral:rRNA from 1 species
CUCAGGAUGAACGCUAGCUACAGGCUUAACACAUGCAAGUCGAGGGGAAACGACAUCGAAAGCUUGCUUUUGAUGGGCGUCGACCGGCGCACGGGUGAGUAACGCGUAUCCAACCUGCCCAUCACUUGGGGAUAACCUUGCGAAAGUAAGACUAAUACCCAAUGAUAUCUCUAGAAGACAUCUGAAAGAGAUUAAAGAUUUAUCGGUGAUGGAUGGGGAUGCGUCUGAUUAGCUUGUUGGCGGGGUAACGGCUCACCAAGGCGACGAUCAGUAGGGGUUCUGAGAGGAAGGUCCCCCACAUUGGAACUGAGACACGGUCCAAACUCCUACGGGAGGCAGCAGUGAGGAAUAUUGGUCAAUGGACGAGAGUCUGAACCAGCCAAGUAGCGUGCAGGAUGACGGCCCUAUGGGUUGUAAACUGCUUUUAUAAGGGAAUAAAGUGAGUCUCGUGAGACUUUUUGCAUGUACCUUAUGAAUAAGGACCGGCUAAUUCCGUGCCAGCAGCCGCGGUAAUACGGAAGGUCCGGGCGUUAUCCGGAUUUAUUGGGUUUAAAGGGAGCGUAGGCCGGAGAUUAAGCGUGUUGUGAAAUGUAGACGCUCAACGUCUGCACUGCAGCGCGAACUGUUUUCCUUGAGUACGCACAAAGUGGGCGGAAUUCGUGGUGUAGCGGUGAAAUGCUUAGAUAUCACGAAGAACUCCGAUUGCGAAGGCAGCUCACUGGAGCGCAACUGACGCUGAAGCUCGAAAGUGCGGGUAUCGAACAGGAUUAGAUACCCUGGUAGUCCGCACGGUAAACGAUGGAUGCCCGCUGUUGGUCUGAAUAGGUCAGCGGCCAAGCGAAAGCAUUAAGCAUCCCACCUGGGGAGUACGCCGGCAAC